GGGAUUCACCACGGAGCUCAACCAAACGGAGCGGACGCGGCAAGGCCAGAGGGAGACGUGGAGGCCGUGCGGGCCAUACAGGCCGUGCAGACCGAUGGAGUGGCCUAACUACAGGCAUGGACACUGAGGUGUUGGCACUUCCUUCAGAGGAUUCCUUGCCCUUACCCAGAGCACAGCAAAAUCCUCAAGAGAUGUUUGAACAAAACAUGGAGAGGCUUUCUGCCCUACUGGAUUCAAGCCCCUGUCCUGCUGAGCCUGAGAGAAGCGCAGCAUCAUCGUGGUCUGUUAGGCAGCAGAAAGCCUCUGACCGUUGGGAGGAAGCACGGCCGUACCACCUCAGAUGCCUUUUGGAAUCUGAGGCUGUUGGCAAGCCAUUGUGUUGCUUCUGCCACAAGCCGGCUGUUAUAAGGUGCAGAGAGUGCCUUCCGGAGCAGUGGUUUUGUGGGGCCUGCGACAUGCAUAACCACAGCAAACGGCCACUCCACAACAGGGACAGCGUGGUGGAUGGCUUCUUUAAAGCCAUUCCCCCAUCCACAUGUAUCUCAAGAGGAGAGACUGGAAUA